rnacentral:rRNA from 1 species
GACGAACGCUGGCGGCGUGCUUAACACAUGCAAGUCGAACGAUGAACCCGGAGCUUGCUCCGGUGGAUUAGUGGCGAACGGGUGAGUAACACGUGAGUAACCUGCCCUUGACUCUGGGAUAACUGCGGGAAACUGUAGCUAAUACCGGAUACGACCCUCGGCGGCAUCGCCAGGGGGUGGGAAGAAUUUCGGUCAAGGACGGACUCGCGGCCUAGCAGCUAGUUGGUGAGGUAACGGCUAAACAAGGCGACGACGGGGAGCCGGCCUGAGGGUGUGACCGGCCAGACUGGGACUGAGACCCGGCCCAGCCUCCUACGGGAGGCAGCGGUGGGGAAUAUUGCACAAUGGGCGCAAUCCUGAUGCAGCAACGCCGCGUGAGGGAUGACGGCCUUCGGGUUGUAAACCUCUUUUAGUAGGGAAGAAGCGAAAGUGACGGUACCUGCAGAAAAAGCACCGGCUAACUACGUGCCAGCAGCCGCCGUAA